CCUACGGGAGGCAGCAGUGGGGAAUAUUGCACAAUGGGGGAAACCCUGAUGCAGCGACGCCGCGUGAGCGAAGAAGUAUUUCGGUAUGUAAAGCUCUAUCAGCAGGGAAGAAAAUGACGGUACCUGACUAAGAAGCCCCGGCUAACUACGUGCCAGCAGCCGCGGUAAUACGUAGGGGGCAAGCGUUAUCCGGAUUUACUGGGUGUAAAGGGAGCGUAGACGGAAUGGCAAGUCUGAUGUGAAAGGCCGGGGCUCAACCCCGGGACUGCAUUGGAAACUGUCAAUCUAGAGUACCGGAGGGGUAAGUGGAAUUCCUAGUGUAGCGGUGAAAUGCGUAGAUAUUAGGAGGAACACCAGUGGCGAAGGCGGCUUACUGGACGGUAACUGACGUUGAGGCUCGAAAGCGUGGGGAGCAAACAGGAUUAGAUACCCCAGUAGU
rnacentral:rRNA from 1 species